UAGUAGAGCACGGAGGUGGCGCUCAGCUUCGUGGGGGCGCAGCACGCCUUGGGGACCGCGUCCGGCUUCAUCAGGUGCACCUGGCCAGGGGAGGGAUGGCAGUCAGUCCCCCUGGACCUCAUGCUUCGCUGAGAAACGUCAGAGCCACUCUCCCGGGGGCUCGCAGAACCACGGUUCCCAUGUCCAUCUGAGCGCUCCGAGGCCCGAGUUCUCCCUUCCACCCCAUACGUUCUGGGGGUGUGGAUGGAUUUAUGACCCAGCAGAUUGGAGCAGCCACCAGCACGUAGCCAGGGCUUGCUCUGCCCAGCACUGCCAAGAGCAGGGCACUAACUGUGCCCUGACAUCCACAAACGAGACCCCGGGUUCAGUGGGGCAGAGACAUCUGGCCAAAGUCCUGGAGCCGCGGUUCAGUCAGAUCCCAAGUUCUUACCCACUGAAGGUCUUACUCCCAGGUUUGUGGGUUAAAAAAGAGAGAAAAGGCUGUGGGCUGGACAUGAUGGGGACCUCCGGCUAGGAAGAGGGACACCUCUGAAAAUGGGAUUUGACCCCACAGCUGCUUAGAGAUGAGGAUGCCCUGAGAAACACACUCACGAUCCCUGGAAAUGUCGACUCCACCAAUGAAACCAACUUCCUGUACCUCUUUGUAUUUCCAAAUGACCUCUUGAUUUCUUAACUGUCAAAGUAACACAAGGGCAACUGUAAGGUAACCUCUGGGGAAGAAAUACCACUCAGAAACCUCUGCCCACCCCAACACAUCGUUUUCAUCUUUCUGGAAUAUUUUCAUGUCACCUGAACUUUUACACAAUGGUCAUCUUAACAAAGAAGUCUGUAUGUUUUCCAACUUUUUCACAUAAACAUGUUCACUGCUGUUAAAA